rnacentral:tRNA from 1 species
UCCAUCUUAGCUCAGUGGUAGAACGCGUGGCUUUUAACCACGUGGUUGUUGGUUUGAUCCCCACAGACGGUG